rnacentral:rRNA from 1 species
GACGAACGCUGGCGGCGUGCUUAACACAUGCAAGUCGAACGGAAAGGCCCUGCUUUCGUGGGGUGCUCGAGUGGCGAACGGGUGAGUAACACGUGAGUAACCUGCCCUUGACUUUGGGAUAACUUCAGGAAACUGGGGCUAAUACCGGAUAGGAGCUCCUGCUGCAUGGUGGGGGUUGGAAAGUUUCGGCGGUUGGGGAUGGACUCGCGGCUUAUCAGCUUGUUGGUGGGGUAGUGGCUUACCAAGGCUUUGACGGGUAGCCGGCCUGAGAGGGUGACCGGGCACAAUGGGACUGAGGUACGGCCCAGUCUCCUACAGGGGGCAGCAGUGGGGAGUAUUGCCCAAUGGUCGGAAGCCUGAGGCAGCGACGCCGCGUUCGGGAUGACGGCCUUCGGGUUGUAAACCGCUUUCGCCUGUGACGAAGCGUUAGUGACGGUAAUGGGUAAAGAAGCACCGGCUAACUACGUG